CCCACCCCACCCGCGUGACGUCACUUCCGCCCCGUGCUUUUUGCCGCCAUUUCGCGAAGUUUGCUGCGCGCGCGGCUCGCCUCGCGCCACUUCCGCCCCCUCGCGCCGCUCCUCUCCGCGCCGUCUCCAACUGCCAUGGACGGAAUUGUCUCAGACAUAUCUGUCGGUACUAAGAGAGGAUCAGAGGAGCUACACUCUGCGGGGUUUUCUAACGGACCUUCCGCCAUGAACUCCGGGUCUACGACCGGUACCCACUCAUCCAC